GUGCUUGUAGCUCAACAGGACAGAGCAUCAGACUACGGAUCUGAAAGUUGAGAGUUCGAAUCUUUCCAAGCAC